rnacentral:rRNA from 1 species
AUGGGGGAUAACCCAGCGGAAAUUUGCGCUAAUACCCGCAUACGAUCUACGGAUGAAAGUGGGGGAUCGCAAGACCUCAUGCUCAUGGAGCGGCCGAUAUCUGAUUAGCUAGUUGGUGGGGUAAAGGCCUACCAAGGCAUCGAUCAGUAGCUGGUCUGAGAGGACGACCAGCCACACUGGAACUGAGACACGGUCCAGACUCCUACGGGAGGCAGCAGUGGGGAAUUUUGGACAAUGGGGGCAACCCUGAUCCAGCAAUGCCGCGUGAGUGAAGAAGGCCUUCGGGUUGUAAAGCUCUUUUGUCAGGGAAGAAACGGUGAGGGCUAAUAUCCUUUGCUAAUGACGGUAC